GGCUAUAUAGCGCAGUGGGAGCCCGCGCUGUUACAAUUAUGCUAACGGUAACACCUUGGCCAGAGGCACGGGUUCGAGUCCCACUCUCGCCA